GACGGGGGGGGCAAGUGUUCUUCGGAAUGACUGGGCGUAAAGGGCACGUAAGCGGUGAAUCGGGUUGAAAGUGAAAGUCGCCAAAAAGUGGCGGAAUGCUCUCGAAGCCAAUUCACUUGAGUGAGACAGAGGAGAGUGGAAUUUCGUGUGUAGGGGUGAAAUCCGUAAAUAUACGAAGGAACACCAAAAGCGAAGGCAGCUCUCUGGGUCCCUACCCGACGCUGGGGUGCGAAAGCAUGGGGAGCGAACAGG
rnacentral:rRNA from 1 species